GAUAUGGUGUGGGUCGCUGGGCAAAGUGGCUGGGAUGCAGCUGGACAGUGAGAUUUCAUCACACUGCUCAGAUUGCAUGCAAUUUAAAGCUUAUGAUUGUUUAAUUCGGAGUUUUCUACUUAGUAUUUCUUCGGCUGAGGAUGACCACACGUAACUGAAACCUUGGAAAGAGUAGAUAAGGGGGAGCUUCCUCUUUUUUUAGUCCGAGCUCUGUCUUUGAAGCCCCCCUUCUCAGCUCAGCCUACUUGCCAUUUUGUGUGGAACAAGAGUCUCCUGAUUCUAGAACUGAAUGUGAAACCAACUAAACCCUUUGCUGGGUGUGGUUCUGCCCUGUGGCCCAGCACUUCCAGGAUGGCAUGGUCCCAGGAGUUCCAAGCCAGCCUGGCCAACACAGUGUCUCUGCCAAGCCUCUGAUGGUCCAGAAAGCUCCACCGUCUGAGUCUCACAUUUGUGUACCCCAUGUCCUCCUCCAGCUUCAACUGUGGGCACACAGAACCACAGGAUUCAGGACCAGGGGUGCCCACAUCUCCUGCAAGAUUAUGGCCUCUGAGGCUGCAUCAACCCCAAAGACCAUGUGCAGACUCUUCAGCCUCCUGAUACAGAGUCUAAUGAGACACUAAGGAAACAUUUCCUGAGCUAUCCUAGCUAUGCCAAGACACCAGAGGUCAUGGCAUCACCCAUGGGUGCCCACCUGGCACAUUCCUGCUGGCAGCCACCCGGCCCAGGUGUCAGCACUUCGAGAGUCAAGGAGUCACCUGAAGACCAGCCGAGUGAGUUGCUUGCAAACCCGCAAAUGCCUGGCUUUGUCGGUCCUGUCCUGCUGUCUGGGGGUAAUGCCAGCCACAUUUCUCUGCCAAGAGAGCACAGAGUUGUAGCCCUUCUGCAUGUGACUCAGAUUUGUGUGUUGGGAAGGCUUCCCUGAGUACUCAUGCAUAUGAUUCAGAACUUGGAUUGCUUUCUUCUUGCUCCUUUGCUUGGAUUGCUUUCUCCUUGCUCCUUUGCUUUUCUCCAUCUUAGUCCUCAACAAAUCAACCCUCACAUACCCGUCUUUCUCUUCCUC